rnacentral:rRNA from 1 species
CGGCACCCACCCUCGGGUGGAAGCGAGUGGCGAACGGCUGAGUAACACGUGGAGAACCCGCCCCCCUCCUCCGGGAUAGCCUCGGGAAACCGUGGGUAAUACCGGAUGACCCCGCAGGGCCGCAUGGCCCCGCGGGCAAAGCCCAGACGGGAGGGGAUGGCUCCGCGGCCCAUCAGGUAGACGGCGGGGUGACGGCCCACCGUGCCGACGACGGGUAGCCGGGUUGAGAGACCGACCGGCCAGAUUGGGACUGAGACACGGCCCAG